AAUAACGUUGACGGUCACAACUGUUGCAAAACCUUUGUGCUGGGGCAACACCUUCUCUGUGAUUUGAAGCCUACAUUUGUUCUACACAAGGGCAAAUGCAAGAUCUUAAAAAUAGGACAUCUGGAUUCUGGAAUAAUU